CAACCCUCGACCUUAGUUGCCAGCAUUCAGUUGGGCACUCUAAGGUGACUGCCGGCUAAAAGUCGGAGGAAGGUGGGGAGUGACGUCAAAUCAUCAUGCCCCUUAUGACCUGGGCUACACACGUGCUACAAUGGGCGGUACAAAGGGUCGCGAACCCGCGAGGGGGAGCCAAUCCCAAAAAGCCGCUCUCAGUUCGGAUUGCAGGCUGCAACUCGCCUGCAUGAAGCCGGAAUCGCUAGUAAUCGCGGAUCAGCAUGCCGCGGUGAAUACGUUCCCGGGCCUU
rnacentral:rRNA from 1 species